UACGUAGGGAGCAAGCGUUGUUCGGAUUUACUGGGCGUAAAGGGCGCGUAGGCGGCGCGGUAAGUCACUUGUGAAAUCUCUGAGCUUAACUCAGAACGGCCAAGUGAUACUGCAGUGCUAGAGUGCAGAAAGGGCAAUCGGAAUUCUUGGUGUAGCGGUGAAAUGCGUAGAUAUCAGGAGGAACACCGGUGGCGAAGGCGGUUCUCUGGGCAUUACCUGACGCUGAGGAGCGAAAGUGUGGGGAGCGAACAGG
rnacentral:rRNA from 1 species